rnacentral:rRNA from 2 species
AUAGCGUAUAUUAAAGUUGUUGCAGUUAAAAAGCUCGUAGUUGAACUUCGAACGUGGCUGGGCGGUCCGCCUCACGGUGUGUACUGUCUGGCUGUGUUCUCUUUCUUGGUGAGCCGGCAUGCCCUUAAUUGGGUGUGUUGGGGAACCAGGACGUUUACCUUGAGAAAAUUAGAGUGUUCAAAGCAGGCCUACGCCCGGAUACAUUAGCAUGGCAUAAUAAAAUAGGACGUGCGGUUCUAUUUUGUUGGUUUCUAGAGUCGCCGUAAUGAUUAAUAGGGAUAGUUGGGGGCAUUAGUAUUCCGUUGCUAGAGGUGAAAUUCUUGGAUUUACGGAAGACUAACUUCUG